UCAAGAAGGGCGAUUUGUGGGAAAUGUUGUGGACUAACCUUGUCCCAAUUGCUCAGAGGUGCCAACAGUUGACAAAAUGCGGAUGCAAUACUGAGUGUCGUGGAAGGUGCAAGUGCUGCCGUUUGAGCCUACCGUGCACGGCUAUGUGUAGCUGUAACUGUGAGCAGUAAAAUACCUGAAUACAUUUUUGCAGGCUCAGAAAUAUUAUUUGAAUUUGAAUUGCGGAGUUACUGCUUUGAUUACACAUUGCUGUACAUGUGUUAUUUUGACAUUGGCGACGGUCUUUUAACCCUUUCUCUACCGUAUCGGUCAAUAUGACCGAUAGCGCGUAAAAACAGGGCUACGCAAAAGGAGUGUCUAUAAAUCUUUGAAACUACGGACGCAAUAUAUAUGUUUUAUAUAUCAUAUUUUUUGGAAAUUUUCUAUAUUUUUUAACUAUGUAAAAAUCAAUUGAAUAAAUAAAGCCAUUAAAUUAAAAAAAAGCAUUUAAAAUGAAAGAUGACUUCGUCUAAAUAUUACGCAACGCUUUAUCGCAAGGCCAUUUUCCCCCUUCGCUAUGAUUUUUUUUAUUUUCCCUAUGAAUGCAAUAUUUUUUAUAUUUUUGAGAAGCAUAUAUUCCUUGCUUUCAGUACAUAUAAAAAAUAUUUUUAAUGCCUGGCAAAGUUAUAAGAAAAUAGCAAUUUUUUGCACAUAUACGUUGUUUCACGAUUUUAUUUCUCAAUGUUUAAACAGAUCGGCGUUUUAUCUAUAUUUAUAUAUGGAAAUAGGGAAAAGUAAAUACAUUCCGUAAAAGUAGAGGAAAUGUUCUUUUUGAUGGACCCUUAUUUAUAUUAUAAUUCUCUGUAGUUUUUAUAUUACGAUAAAAUGAAAUUGGGACAUGCUGCGCGGUUUUCUUAAAAAUUAGCGACAAAUCGACGUCGCUAACAGCAAUCGACGCGCGUCGCACAAUAAAGUGGUGAAAACUAUUUGUAUUGUCCUUUUUUUUUUUUUUUAGUAAAUUCAGUACCUGUUGAUACACUAAAACAACAUACAUACAUGUAUGAAAUAAUCAACCUGGUAUCUCUGCUUUUUUAAAAAAAAAAAAGCAUAAAACCAAUAUUGGUUUAUAACAGUUACACAACCUACAUGUAACUUCAUAAAUGCUACAUCGGCAGAUUGAAUUUAAAAAAGAUUAAUAAAGUACUUCAAAUUCAAAUAUAAACGUUAUAUUUGUUCGGAAUAGUAAUAAUUUUUUUAUCUGCCAAAGAAAGAAAACAAAAAAGAAGUUCGCCUAUAUAUAGCCUGCAUACUUUUAUUUUUCCGUGAUCCGGAUCGCGGGCCUCGCGGGGUUUUCUGAAAGUGUGCACGGAGAACACACGUGUUUCCGUUUCAACGAAAACAAACAAACACAGCUUCACCGUGACUGUCACAGCGAACGCUUGUAUUUUACAUCUUUAAAACGACCUGAUGUCAGAAGAAGAAGAUGCCCUGGAUCCCCUGUUGCAGGAUGACCCAAACGAUCAUGCAUUCAGUAUAAAUACGUACAUGGUAUUGACAUCCCAAUAUUUAGUGGGAAGUUUCCAGGUAUCAUCCGCUAGCGACAGUCUACUGACAAAUCCAGACAUGCAUUGGAAGGAUGCUGAUGUGGAGGACACAGGAACACCUGAUCCCAGAACUGUGGCAUUUCAUUCGGGGUGACAACCUGGCUUUCAGUUGAUAUGGGACUCUAUUAUUCGGAAAACUGCAGAUUUUAUGAAGCUGUCUUUGACAGAAGAUUUGGUUUUCUCCAUCUGUGUUGCCACCAACCAUUAUGCUGAGAUAGUCAUAACUAGGGGGAAGGGUUGCCAUAUACUUCCCAAAGAAGUUUGCAGCCUCUCACUGAAGAGGAACUGUACAGAUUUUUGUGCAUUAUCUUAUACACGCCUGCUGUGAAGUUCCAGUCGAUAGACAGAUAUUGGUCAACGCAUGCCCCUGUCGGAACAACUCGUUAUCAAGAAUUAUGUCUAGAAAUAGGUUUCAAGGUUGAAUAUAAGAA